rnacentral:rRNA from 1 species
UACGUAGGGCGCAAGCGUUAUCCGGAAUUAUUGGGCGUAAAGAGCUCGUAGGCGGUUUGUCGCGUCUGCCGUGAAAGUCCGGGGCUCAACUCCGGAUCUGCGGUGGGUACGGGCAGACUAGAGUGAUGUAGGGGAGACUGGAAUCCUGGUGUAGCGGUGAAAUGCGCAGAUAUCAGGAGGAACACCGGUGGCGAAGGCGGUUCUCUGGGCAUUACCUGACGCUGGAGGAGCGAAAGUGUGGGGAGCGCAACAGGG